AUAAGAGACCUUUGGGUCCUUCAUCCUUCAAACCCGUGGAAGCGAGAUGUGCUUCGGCGCCUCUGAGCGUCGAAUCAAUGCCGUUUAGCCUGUGUCUGAAACGAAAUAAAUUUUA
rnacentral:misc_RNA from 1 species